rnacentral:rRNA from 1 species
UACGUAGGGUGCGAGCGUUGUCCGGAAUUAUUGGGCGUAAAGAGCUUGUAGGUGGCUCGUUGCGUCGGGAGUGAAAACCUGCGGCUUAACCGCAGGCCUGCUUCCGAUACGGGCGAGCUAGAGUUCGGCAGGGGAGACUGGAAUUCCUGGUGUAGCGGUGGAAUGCGCAGAUAUCAGGAGGAACACCGGUGGCGAAGGCGGUCUGCUGGGCCAAGACUGACGCUGAGGCGCGAAGGCGUGGGGAGCGAACGGG